rnacentral:rRNA from 1 species
AACGUAGGAGACAAACGUUAUCCGGAGUUACUGGGCGUAAAGGGCGUGUAGGUGGUUCUGUAAGUCUGGCGUGAAAUUUCUCGGCUUAACCGAGGCAGGUCGUCGGAUACUGCAGGGCUAGAGGACGGUAGAGGCGUGUGGAAUUCCGGGUGUAGUGGUGAAAUGCGUAGAGAUCCGGAGGAACACCAGUGGCGAAGGCGACACGCUGGGCCGUACCUGACACUGAUGCGCGACAGCAUGGGGAGCGAACAGGG